rnacentral:lncRNA from 1 species
CAAUCUUAAAUGCUGUAUAGGAGGAUCUCAUUGAGAAGAUAUCAUUUGAGCAAAGAUGUAAAGCAAGGGAGGGAAUGAGUCAGUGGCUACAUAGCGAGAGUGUCCUAGGCAGAGGAAACAGCUUCUACAAAAGCCCUGAAGCAAGAGAAUGUUUGAAGUGUUCAAGAAUAAACAGGAGAUGCAGAAUGAAUGGAAUUGAGAGUGAGUGAGGCAGUCGGAUACAAGAGAGACUAAUAUGGGGCAGCACUGAAGACUGCUGACAGCAGCCACAUGAGUGAGCUCAGAGUGGACACAACAGCCCCUUCAGAGGCUGCAGGGAUGGCAGACAGCCUGACUGCAAUGUCGUGAAAGAUGCUGAGGCAGAACCAUGCAGCAAAGUCAUUCCCAGAUUCCUGACUCUCAGAAAAUGUAAACUUCAUUUCAGACACAGAGAGAAGAGUGAAUGGAAAGAUGGGUGAGGGAUAGAUAUAUAGAUAAAUUAAUGCAGAAAUAAUUUUACAAAAAUCGUAUCAUACCAUAAUAUGUUGC